AGAAAUGGAAGGGGCUCCGUUUCUCCUCCCGCUUAGCUCUUGGCAGCUCUCCCUCUCUGUGCAGCACCCCUUCAGUGAAGCGGGAGGAGAAACGGGGCCCCUUCUAUUUCU